rnacentral:rRNA from 1 species
GGAGGGGGUUAGCGUUGUUCGGAAUUACUGGGCGUAAAGCGCACGUAGGCGGAUUAGUAAGUUAGAGGUGAAAUCCCGAGGCUCAAGGGUGGAACUGCCUUUAAUACUGCUAGUCUUGAGUUCGUGUGUGGUAAGUGGAAUUCCGAGUGUAGAGGUGAAAUUCGUAGAUAUUCGGAGGAACACCAGUGGCGAAGGCGGCUUACUGGAUAGAUACUGACGCUGAGGUGCGAAAGUGUGGGGAGCAAACAGGAUUAGAUACCCUGGUAGUCCACACCGUAAACGAUGAAUGCCAGACGUCAGGCA